rnacentral:pre_miRNA from 1 species
CUAUUACUCCCUCCGUCCGAAAAUACUUGUCAUCAAAAUGGAUAAAAAGAGAUGUAUCCAAAACUAAAAUACAUCUAGAUACAUCCCUUUUUAUUCAUUUUGAUGACAAGUAUUUCCGGACGGAGGGAGUAUUAU